UUAUAAAUUGACAAGAUUACAUAAUGUGUGCUCGAAAUCCGAGUUGCAAAUGACCAGUAGUCCAGAAUGGCCUGCCCCCCCCGGUGGCCCUUGAUAUGGACAUCCGCCAUCCGGAGACAUUUACACAUCGUUUAAUCAGAGCUCUGCGAUCCGUCUGCCACCGCCCUGUGGUCGCCCAAUUUCGUACUAGCAUCAUCCCCGCCUGAUGGCCGCAGUCUACACUUAUGACCACGCCCAAAAAAUCUUGAAGAUUCUGCCAAUGCAUCUUCAUCACGCGGUGGCAGUUGUAUUUGCAGUACUGUCUGUGGGGGAAGUGUUAUGAUAUGGGACUUAGUAGGGAUGAAUAAAGUUAGGUGACCACCUGAGGAAAAUAAACAUCCAUAAAUGAGCUUUUUGGAUGUGCCCAAGAAGAGUCAUCAGCUGAAGAUUGUGAUAAAAACUCAAACCAAUCUUUCUGAUAUUUAAAGGGACCUCAACAAGGAGAAUCAAUGUUAGUCCUCUGUGUGCCGUUUAUCCAGAGAAGAUAUGCUCCUAGUUGACCUGUCCAUGCUGCUGCUGCUUCCUAAUGAGUCUCUGAGGAGGAGAAAUUAGGCACAAAUGUCCUAAGUUAAAACAAUAUUCCAAGAAAAAGCUCUGUUCUCUGUAAUCGCAUUAUCUGCCUAUAAGAGGCUUGGCGUUCUGCGUUUUUAAUGACUGUAACAGUGUACAGGGCUCCUGCACCGACUGCUGGAUUGCGUGGAUAGGAACGGCCGGAGCACAGCGACCUUGUGGUCACAUGAUUGUCCAGAAAUGUUUGAUCCUUAACGCACUGCUGCCUGCCACACCCAUCUGUGGAAAAAGAGCCACGAGACAGUACAGACGUGUACUUUCAGGAAGACUGCAGUUUGGAACGAAAUGUUGAAAUGGAAUCUUCUAACAUACUAAAUGUGAUCUGCAUUUUUUUUUUAAAAAGGUGAAAAAGAUAGUUUCAUUUCAUUGAAGGUGUUCCUGAGUGUGUCUCUUGCUCCAUCCCCUUCUCAGUUGGAGCCACUUCUCUCAUCAAGACGACAGUAUGAAGCCCAGUUCCUCUGGAUAGUUUAGCUCAAAAAGCUCGGUUCGAGUCCGCCUGCCUGCCUCCCAGCCUUUCAGUCCAUCUUUCCAAAACCAAAGUGAAAUCUACUCUGCUCUCAAUAAACUGUCAUCCACCA